UCCUCCACCUCCGUCAUGACGACUGUAUCCCCCUCACAGGUGCGCCAGAACUACAAUCAGGACUCAGAGACUGCCAUCAACCUCCAGAUCGACCUGGAGCUCUACGCCUCCUACAUCUACCUGUCCAUGUCUUACUACUUUGACCGCGACGAUGUGGCUUUGAAGAAAUUUGCCAAAUAUUUUCUGCACCAAUCUCAUGAGGAGCAGGAACAUGCUGAGAAUCUGAUGAAGCUGCAGAACCAACGAGGUGGUCGAAUCUUCCUGCAGGAUAUCAAGAAACCAGACUGGGAUGACUGGGAGAGUAGACUGAAUGCAAUGGAGUGCUGCUGUACUUGGAAAAAAAUGUGAAUCAGUCACUACUGGAACUGCACAAACUGGCCACUGACAAGAAUGACUCCCAUUUGUGUGACUUCAUUGAAAUGCGCUACCUGGACAAGCAGAUGAAAUCCAUCAAAGAAUUGGGUGACCAUAUAACUAACUUGCACAAGAUGGAGACCCUGGAUUCUGGCCGGUCAGAGUAUCUCUUUGACAAGCACACUCUGGGAGACAGCAAUGGAGAGAGCUGA